CCGACUGUUAUCAUCAUUGAACAGAGUAGAGCACCACACCGGUGAUGUCUGACCACACUGGUGACCCCAAUGGCUGAUCUGUUGCAUUCCACAGACCAAAGACACCAGAAAAUAUCACACCCUGAAGACACCAAAAGAAACUCCCAAGCAUCAAGAAAAGAAAAAUGAAGUGCUUUAUAAAUGAGAGACUGGUGAAAUACACCUCUAUCUACCAUAUAUGGACAAUUAAGUUGCCAAUCAGCUAAAAACCACUACCUGGACCAGGCUAAACUUUCAUUUAAUUUCAACUUGGUUACUGUGUAAAAACAACUGUAUUAUUACUUCACUACUGUAUUAUCGUUGUACUGCUGUAUUAUUGCUGUACUGCAUCAUUACCGUACAACAUUUACAAUGUGCAUAACCUGCUAAACUGCUUAACCAACACACAGGUAAAAACCAACCAAUCAAUGGCAGCAAAGAACAGGAAGGCAAGGAAAAAACAAAAUUGGUAAAGAAAUUAAGUUACACAGUAACUACAAAUUGGGUAAACAAAUUUCCUGUUAGUACCAGUCAUAAUCUGGGUUACUGACACUACAUCCUAACUAAGGCAUGUAUUAUUCAAAAUAAGCAUAUUCAGUGUCAGGAUACCAAUAUUAUAUCCUGACACAGCAAUAUUUGAUAAAUUGGUUACUGUCCAUUCAGUAGGUUAUCUGGAAAACAACACCCAUAAAAACAGCUGGAUCUACAUUAACUACUGGUGUAUCACAGAGCAGUUCAAUCAAUGGAA